rnacentral:lncRNA from 1 species
UUGUCACCACUCCCUCCUUCGGUAACUACGAGCCACCCAACUAUGGCAAACAACCAAAGAAGCCAGAACCGAAGUCACCCAAGCCUCCUGUGCAUGAACUUCCAAAGAAGCCUCCAACGUAUAAACCUACGCCAUCAAUCCAUGAACCUCCAAAGAAGCCUCCAAUGUAUAAACCUAAACCACCACUCCAUGAACUUCCAAAGAAGCCACCGAUUCAUGAACCUAAACCACCAAAGCCACCAGUUCACGAACCUCCAAAGAAAGAGAAACCAGAACACAAGCCACCAAUAUAUGAACCUCCGAAGAAACCACCAGUCCGUGAACCUUCAAAGAAGCCUCCAGCGUAUAAACCUAAACCACCAGUUCAUGAACCUCCAAAGAAGCCACCGAUGCAUGAAUCUAAACCACCAAAGCCACCAAUCCACGAACCUCCAAAGAAAGAGAAACCAGAACCCAAGCCACCAGUUUAUGAACAUCCAAAAAAACCACCUUCUGGUCACUAUCCAGGACACCCUCCAUUGGAGAAGCUCCCAUCACCUAGCCAUCCGAAGAACUGAGCCACUUCUAUGGCUAUAUAGAUAGAUCAGUACUUACAAAUAAGAGCGGCGGCCAGCUCGUUCCAUUUUCUUGUAUGCCAUUGUUAUGAUGUAAUGUUUUCUUUGUAUGUUAAUCCUCUUGUUGUUGAAUGAGCAUAUUCUGGUUCAGUUUAUAUGCGAAAUGCUAAAUAGAAUUCUCAUCGAUAUGUGCUUUUUUGGCCAUUAAAA